GAUGAACGCUGGCGGCGUGCCUAAUACAUGCAAGUCGAGCGAACGGACGAGAAGCUUGCUUCUCUGAUGUUAGCGGCGGACGGGUGAGUAACACGUGGAUAACCUACCUAUAAGACUGGGAUAACUUCGGGAAACCGGAGCUAAUACCGGAUAAUAUUUUGAACCGCAUGGUUCAAAAGUGAAAGACGGUCUUGCUGUUACUUAUAGAUGGAUCCGCGCUGCAUUAGCUAGUUGGUAAGGUAACGGCUUACCAAGGCAACGAUGCAUAGCCGACCUGAGAGGGGGAUGGCCCACUCUGGAACUGAGACACGUGCCAGACACCUACGGGAGGCAGAAGUAGGGAAUCUUCCGAAAUGGGCGAAAGCCUGACGGAGCAACGCCGCGUGAGUGAUGCAGGUCUUCGGAUCGUAAAACUCUGUUAUUAGGGAAGAACAUAUGUGUAAGUAACUGUGCACAUCUGGACGGUACCUAAUCAGAAAGCCACGGCUAACUACGU
rnacentral:rRNA from 1 species